CAACUUUCAACAACGGAUCUCUUGGUUCUGGCAUCGAUGAAGAACGCAGCGAAAUGCGAUACGUAGUGUGAAUUGCAGAAUUCAGUGAAUCAUCGAAUCUUUGAACGCACAUUGCGCCCUUUGGUACUCCAAAGGGCAUGCCUGUUCGAGCGUCAUU
rnacentral:rRNA from 1 species